GGAGGCAACUCUGACCCAGCCAUGCCGCGUGCAGGAUGAAGGCGUUAUGCGUUGUAAACUGCUUUUAUAUAGGAAGAAAUAGACCUUGCGAGGUAAGUUGACGGUACUAUAUGAAUAAGCACCGGCUAACUCCGUGCCAGCAGCCGCGGUAAUACGGAGGGUGCAAGCGUUGUCCGGAUUUAUUGGGUUUAAAGGGUGCGUAGGCGGUUUAUUAAGUCAGUGGUGAAAGACGGUCGCUCAACGAUUGCAGUGCCAUUGAUACUGGUAGACUUGAGUGAGAUUGAGGUAGCUGGAAUGGAUAGUGUAGCGGUGAAAUGCAUAGAUAUUAUCCAGAACACCAAUUGCGUAGGCAAGUUACUAAGUCUCAACUGACGCUGAGGCACGAAAGUGUGGGUAUCAAACAGGAUUAGAUACCCUGGUAGUCCACACUGUAAACGAUGAUAACUAACUGUUGGCUUUCGGGUCAGUGGUA
rnacentral:rRNA from 1 species